rnacentral:rRNA from 1 species
UUGAACGCUGGCGGCAGGCCUAACACCUGCAAGUCGAACGGUAACAGGAAGAAGCUUGCUUCUUUGCUGACGAGUGGCGGACGGGUGAGUAAUGUCUGGGAAACUGCCUGAUGGAGAGGGAUAACUACUGGAAACGGUAGCUAAUACCGCAUAACGUCGCAAAACCAAAGAGGGGGACCUUCGGGCCUCUUGCCAUCGGAUGUGCCCAGAUGGGAUUAGCUAGUAGGUGGGGUAACGGCUCACCUAGGCGACGAUCCCUAGCUGGUCUGAGAGGAUGACCAGCCACACUGGAACUGAGACACGGUCCAGACUCCUACGGGAGGCAGCAGUGGGGAAUAUUGCACAAUGGGCGCAAGCCUGAUGCAGCCAUGCCGCGUGUAUGAAGAAGGCCUUCGGGUUGUAAAGUACUUUCAGCGGGGAGGAAGGGAGUAAAGUUAAUACCUUGGCUCAUUGACGUUACCCGCAGAAGAAGCACCGGCUAACUCCGUG